CCCCUAGAUGUUCUGGGCCGCACGCGCGCUACACUGAACAGUUCAACAAGUCUUAACCUUGGCCGAUAGGUCUGGGUAAUCUUUGAACGCUGUUCGUGAUUGGGAUAGACCUUUGCAAUUAUGGGUCUUCAACGAGGAAUUCCUAGUAAACGCAAGUCAUCAGCUUGCAUUGAUUACGUCCCUGCCCUUUGUACACACCGCCCGUCGCACCUACCGAUUGAAUGGUCCGGUGAAAUCUCGGGACGGCGGCUUGGUCGCUUGCGUCCGACUGCUGAAACUUGAUUAAACCAUAUCGUUUAGAGGAAGGUGAANUCGUANCA
rnacentral:rRNA from 1 species